AUUCAUCCAUGUGAAGCCCUUUCGACGAGUCGAGUUGUUUGGGAAUGCAGCUCUAAAUGGGUGGUAGACUUCAUCUAAAGCUAAAUAUCAGCCAGAGACCGAUAGCGCACAAGUAGAGUGAUCGAAAGAUGAAAAGCACUUUGAAAAGAGAGUCAAACAGCACGUGAAAUUGUUGAAAGGGAAGCGCUAGCAACCAGACUUGCUCUGUAUUGUUCAGCUCUCCGAAAGGAUGGUGUAUUCUUUACUUGCAGGCCAGCAUCGGUUUCGACAGUUGGAUAAAAACUCAAGGAAAGUAGCUUCGCUUCGGGGAAGUGUUAUAGCCUAAGUACAAUGCAACUAGUCGGGACCGAGGAACGCGCUUUUAGCGAGGAUGUUGGCAUAAUGGUUGUUAGCGACCCGUCUUGAAACACGGACCAAGGAGUCGACCAAUUAAGCGAGCGUUUGGGUGUAAAACCCUCGACGCGUAAUGAAAGUAAACGUAGGUGGGAAGCUUUACAGCAGCACCAUCGACCGAUCUAAGUUCGCGAGGAUUUGAGUAUGAGUUUCAUUGGUCGGACCCGAAAGGUAAAUACUAUCGAGAGAGAGAAAAGAACAGAUGCUAACUUAUUUUUUAGAAGGUGAACUAUUCGCGGAUAAGUUGAAGUCAGGUGAAAACCUGAUGGAGGACUGCAGCGGUUCUGACGUGCAAAUCGAUCGUCAAAUCUACGAAUAGGGGCGAAAGACUAAUCGAACCUUCUAGUAGCUGGUUCCUGUCGAAGUUUCCCUCAGGAUAGCAGCAACGAUAUACAGUCUCAUGAGGUAGAGCAACGAUUAGAGGCCUUGGGGUUGAAACAACCUCAACCUAUUCUCGAACUCCGAAUAUGUGAGAAGUCCUUGUUACUUUAUUGAA
rnacentral:rRNA from 1 species